rnacentral:rRNA from 1 species
GUGAUAGUCCCGUACACCAAAAUGCACAGGCUGUGAACUCGAAGAGUAGGGCGGGACACGUGGUAUCCUGUCUGAAUAUGGGGGGACCAUCCUCCAAGGCUAAAUACUCCUGACUGACCGAUAGUGAACCAGUACCGUGAGGGAAAGGCGAAAAGAACCCCGGCGAGGGGAGUGAAAAAGAACCUGAAACCGUGUACGUACAAGCAGUGGGAGCACCUUCGGGUGUGACUGCGUACCUUUUGUAUAAUGGGUCAGCGACUUAUAUUCUGUAGCAAGGUUAACCGUAUAGGGGAGCCGCAGGGAAACCGAGUCUUAACUGGGCGUUAAGUUGCAGGGUAUAGACCCGAAACCCGGUGAUCUAGCCAUGGGCAGGUUGAAGGUUGGGUAACACUAACUGGAGGACCGAACCGACUAAUGUUGAAAAAUUAGCGGAUGACUUGUGGCUGGGGGUGAAAGGCCAAUCAAACCGGGAGAUAGCUGGUUCUCCCCGAAAGCUAUUUAGGUAGCGCCUCGUGAAU